UACGGGGGGGGCAAGCGUUGUUCGGAAUUACUGGGCGUAAAGGGUUCGUAGGCGGCCAACUAAGUCAGACGUGAAAUCCCUCAGCUUAACUGGGGAACUGCGUCUGAUACUGGAUGGCUUGAGAUUGGGAGAGGGAUGCGGAAUUCCAGGUGUAGCGGUGAAAUGCGUAGAUAUCUGGAGGAACACCGGUGGCGAAGGCGGCAUCCUGGACCAACACUGACGCUGAGGAGCGAAAGCCAGGGGAGCAAACGGG
rnacentral:rRNA from 1 species